rnacentral:rRNA from 1 species
UACGGACGGUGCAAGCGUUAUCCGGAUUCACUGGGUUUAAAGGGUGCGUAGGCGGACAGGUAAGUCAGUGGUGAAAUCUCUGGGCUUAACCCAGAAACUGCCGUUGAUACUAUUUGUCUUGAAUAUCCUGGAGGUAGGCGGAAUAUGUCAUGUAGCGGUGAAAUGCUUAGAUAUGACAUAGAACACCGAUAGCGAAGGCAGCUUACUACAGGAUGAUUGACGCUGAGGCACGAAAGCGUGGGGAGCAAACAGG